CACGUAGGGUGCGAGCGUUGUCCGGAAUUAUUGGGCGUAAAGAGCUCGUAGGCGGUGUGUCGCGUCGGCCGUGAAAACCUGCAGCUUAACUGUGGGCUUGCGGUCGAUACGGGCAUCACUGGAGUUCGGCAGGGGAGACUGGAAUUCCUGGUGUAGCGGUGAAAUGCGCAGAUAUCAGGAGGAACACCGGUGGCGAAGGCGGGGUCUCUGGCCCGAUACUG
rnacentral:rRNA from 1 species